GCUGUUUUAAGGGCUGAGCUUUGGAUUCCUAGGAGGGAAAAGGAUGUGAUUACUGGGCUACUGCUGAGAGACUUAUACUGAUCCCUGAAGAGCUCUCCUGGGAUGCACUGCCAUGUCUCAUGGAGUGAUGAACAAGUGAAUAGAGAGAGCUGGAAAGACACUGGCACAGU